UACAGAGGGGGCAAGCGUUAUUCGGAAUUAUUGGGCGUAAAGGGUGCGCAGGCGGCCAAGUGUGUCAGGUGUGAAAUCCCGAGGCUUAACCUCGGAACUGCGCCUGAAACUACUUGGCUAGAGUACUGGAGAGGGUAACGGAAUUCACGGUGUAGCAGUGAAAUGCGUAGAUAUCGUGAGGAACACCAGAGGCGAAGGCGGUUACCUGGACAGUUACUGACGCUCAGGCACGAAAGUGUGGGGAGCAAACAGG
rnacentral:rRNA from 1 species